AUGAAACCCAAUAAAGCACCAGGUCCAGAUAAUAUCCCCAUCGAAUUCUUCCAACACUGUUGGGAGGUAGUUAAGGGUGAAGUGAUGUUAUUAUUUGACUGGUUCCAUGAUAAUAAACUUGAUGUGCAACGUUUGAAUUAUGGGAUUUUAACUCUGUUGCCUAAGAUUGUUGGAGCAAAUAAAAUACAACAGUUUCGCCCCAUAUGCUUGCUUCGGUGCAUCUAUAAACUGAUUACUAAAGUGCUUACUAUUAGACUAGAACCUUUUGUUGAUACACUUUUCAGUAGACAUCAGAAUGCUUUUAUUAAAAAGCAAGACAUCAUGGAUGGGAUCAUGUCUCUACAUGAAAUCCUCCAUCACACUUACAGUAGGAAGAAACCUGGGAUUGUGUUGAAGCUAGAUUUUGAAAAGGCAUAUGACAAAUUUAACUGGGAUUUCCUGCUAGAUUGCCACAAAAUGAGAGAAUUUCAUCCGCAAUGGAAUGAAUGGGUCAGAAAAAUCCUAGUGGGAGGUAUGGUUAGUGUGAAGCUGAAUGAUGAGGUGGGUCCUUACUUUCAAAGCUCGAAAGGGGUGCGCAAGGGGACCUAUUCUCGCCUUUUCUCGUUAAUUUAG
rnacentral:rRNA from 1 species